GAACAUGGAAUUGGAUACUUCACGGGUAACGUAAUGGAUGUAGAAGACGUCGGGCGCCGAGCUCUGGGGAGGGAGUUAUCUUUUCAUUCUAACAGCUUAUCACCCCCGGAAAUUGGUUUAAUCUCGGAGAUGGGGGUUUUAAGGGUGGAAGAGGCCAGCACCUUUGCUGGCUCCGGUGCUCUCCACCCCGGCCCGAGAAAAUCCACAGGAAGGAAUAGUUAUCAUGUCAUGUUGUAUAACUAACCGCAGCAGGUCUUCAACGAGAACAGCCUUUUUCCAGAUAGAAUAUCCAGAUAAUGGGGAUGGGCAAAAUAGAUCUAUGACUUCGGGCUAAGGAUUGGCUCUAAGUGUCGGGUAGAGAGGACAAUGGUCAGACGCAGCGGGAGUGAUUGUGGACUGCUUGGUGGGGCUGCUAUGCUAGGCGGAGUACUUGCGUGUUCAUGUGUAGACGGCCUUGGUAGGUCUUUUGUAGACCGUCGCUGCUACAAUUAACGAUCAAGUUAGAACUGGUACGGACAAGGGGAAUAUGACGGUCUAAUUAAAACAUAGCAUUGCGAUGGUCAGAAAGUGAUGUUGACGCAAUGUGAUUUCUGCCCAGUGCUUUGAAUGUCAAAGAGAAGAAAUUCAACCAAGCGCGGGUAAUCGGCGGGAGUAACUAUGACUUUGUUAAGGUAGCCAAAUGCCUCGUCAUUUAAUUAGUGACGCGCAUGAAUGGAUUAACGAGAUUCCCACUGUCCCUAUGUACUAUCUAGCGAAACCACAGCCAAGGGAACGGGCUUGGCAGAAUCAGCGGGGAAAGAAGACCCUGUUGAGCUUGACUAUAGUUUGACAUUGUGAAGAGACAUAGAGGGUGUAGAAUAAGUGGGAGCUUCGGCGCCAGUGAAAUACCACUACCUUUAUAGUUUCUUUACUUAUUCAAUGAAGCGGAGCUGGAAUUCAUUUUCCACGUUAUAGCAUUCAAGGUCCCAUUCGGGGCUGAUCCGGGUAGAAGACAUUGUCAGGUGGGGAGUUUGGCUGGGGCGGCACAUAGGUUAAACGAUAACGCAGAUGUCAUAAGGGGGGCUCAUGGAGAACAGAAAUCUCCAGUAGAACAAAAGGGUAAAAGCCCCCUCGAUUUUGAUUUUCAGUGUGAAUACAAACCAUGAAAGUGUGGCCUAUCGAUCCUUUAGUCCCUUGGAAUUUGAGGCUAGAGGUGCCAGAAAAGUUACCACAGGGAUAACUGGCUUGUGGCAGUCAAGAAUUCAUAGCGACAUUGCUUUUUGAUUCUUCGAUGU
rnacentral:rRNA from 1 species